UCCUGUCUCUGAGCUUCCUUCUCCAGGUUUGCUCCUUUCCAUCAGGUAUCACUUUAUCACCACCUCCUCAAAGAGGCCGUGUUCAUGUCCAGGCCCACAAUCUCAAGUAGCCAUCCUGUGAUUCUGUAUCAUAUUAUCCUUUUUAAACUCUAUGCAGCAUUUACUACCUCUGAUGUUUUUUCUUCUUUAAGGAUUUGAUUGCCUUAUGUGACAAGCCCAAGAUCUGUGACAGUUGGAGCUCAAACUAGGCAGUCUUGAUUCCAGACUGCUCUGAACUAGUAUUUGAAGGAACUAAUGAACAUGACAUGUUAAAUGAAAGUUUGGGGACGUACACUCAGGAUGGAAGCAGGGGGACACAACAGAAAUGAAAGAAUUUUCUGUAGAUCUGGGAUCUGGACACCUGCCCCCCGUCAUGGGAAGGCAGUAAACAAGAUGCUAACUGAUGGAGUGAAAUCCCCAGGAGAUGCAGAAGGCAAGUGCAGCUAACUGAGGCCUCAGGGGCAGGAGAUGCCCAUCAGGAUGAGAGCUAUGUCUUUCUCCAGUGAUGACUCUGCUUCUAUGAGGUCACCAGCAGUAGAACCAUAUCUUGCUGGCAUACACUUGGGAUGGCCCCGCCUCCUGGACUUCCAUCUGUCAUCAGGAGAACAUAACCAUCUGGAGUCAGUACAGAUCAUCAAUCCUUCCACAUAUACAAGUUCAUUUUAAAUUUUUAAAAAUAUAAUACAACUGAGAAGUCUUCAUUAAA
rnacentral:lncRNA from 1 species